GUUUUCAAAAGAGGAAUGAUAAAUGCAUAAUAUACUAUAUUUUUAGUCCCUUAUAUUAGUACAAUGGCCGCUUUAUAUUGGUUAUUUUAUGAUUUUAUUUACUUUUAUUAUUUUAGAUUUUAUUUUAUUCAUUAUUUUAUUUUAUAGUUAUUGUUAUAAUAAAUGAUACUUAAUUUAUGUUGUGUGUUUUUGGUAGGAAAGCAAGAGGAAAAUAAAUCCCAUUUAUGUUGCUAUUCAAAGGAUCAUUUGCUUGCUAUCAUCAAAAUAUAUGAAGAAGGAAGCAAAAUAUUUGCAAGCACUACGUGGAGAACAACAAGCCCAACAACAAAAUAGACUAGCAACACCUAAGUGAAAAUAAAAAAAAAAAAAAAAAAGAAAAGAAAAAAAAAAACAAAUGGGCACGUGACGUCCUGAAGAAAGCAACAAGCUACGUCAAGCAACAUCAAACAAUCAGAAACAAGAAGAUAGAAAUCUAUCUUGCUUGCGUGAUAACCGAGGCCUCCAAAACUCUGUGUUUAUCUUCAAACAACUUCAACAAAAUUCAAGCAAAAACAAGAAGAUGAAGAUCUAUCCUAAUUCAAGAUUCUAUCUUUUCAUACCUAGAAAACCUAGGAUGGUUUUGGGUUAUAAAAAUCCCAAUCAUCCCUCCUAAACGGGACAAAAGUUUUACCACGGGACUAACAUCAGGAAUUUGUGAGGCUUGGCGGAGUACGAUUGAUCCAAGGUUGAUAGAUCGCACAUACCGGAAGGUGAAGGGACGAGUGACAGCGAUGAUCUAGCGGCGGUCGUUCGAUCGUGGCUCAUCAAUCUAGAGAAUUCAAACAGCUUGAGAGUUGAGACGUUGAGCCAUUGUCUGAUUGUCCUAUGUGAGUCGCACUUCUCCUUCAUCGUUCAAGUGUUCAACCUAUAUCAAUCUAAAAGAUUUCUUCUUCUUCUGAGGAGGAGAUUAUUGCAUGAUGCAUCCUUUAAUAUUGUUUGAGAACUAGAAUACAAAUUUGUGUUUUAAAAUCCUUAGUAGCUUUGUAAUUCGUUAAGUAGAACUUCAUUUGGCUUGUAAUUCGAUAAGUAGGACUUUAUUUGGCUUGCAAUUCACUAAGUAGGACAUCAUUUUGCUUGUAAUUCGUUAAGUAGGAUUGUUACUUUGCUAAACCAUUUUACUUUGGUUAGGGUUGAAGCAUUGAGCCUGUAAACUUGUGUCUUUGAAAAUAUUAAGUGGUUUGAAAUACAAAAAGUUAUAUGAAAAAAAAAUCAGGUUUUUAAGGUCAAUUUCAGGUCAAUCAACCUGAUUUAAACCUAACCAAAAAAUCAGGUCAAAACUGGUUAAUUUCGGGUUGACCCGAACCCAAAAAUAUUAGGUUCAAGUUGUGGUUUUGAGCCCGAAAACUUAAAUGGAUCAGGUUCGGGUUGGAGGGUAGUUGACCCAAAAUCAACUGACCCGAACACGAACUCGACCCGACCUGAUCUAUUUGCCAGCCCUACCGGGCAUGCCCUGAUGAGCUUUAUGG